rnacentral:rRNA from 1 species
GACGAACGCUGGCGGCGUGCCUAAUACAUGCAAGUCGAGCGAACAGACGAGGAGCUUGCUCCUCUGACGUUAGCGGCGGACGGGUGAGUAACACGUGGAUAACCUACCUAUAAGACUGGGAUAACUUCGGGAAACCGUAGCUAAUACCGGAUAAUAUUUUGAACCGCAUGGUUCAAUAGUGAAAGACGGUUUUGCUGUCACUUAUAGAUGGAUCCGCGCCGCAUUAGCUAGUUGGUAAGGUAACGGCUUACCAAGGCAACGAUGCGUAGCCGACCUGAGAGGGUGAUCGGCCACACUGGAACUGAGACACGGUCCAGACUCCUACGGGAGGCAGCAGUAGGGAAUCUUCCGCAAUGGGCGAAAGCCUGACGGAGCAACGCCGCGUGAGUGAUGAAGGUCUUCGGAUCGUAAAACUCUGUUAUUAGGGAAGAACAAAUGUGUAAGUAACUAUGCACGUCUUGACGGUACCUAAUCAGAAAGCCACGGCUAACUACGUG